rnacentral:tRNA from 1 species
GCACCAGUGGUGUAGUGGUACACAUUACAACAUUGUGAUUGGAAAGAUCCAGGUUCAAAUCCUGGCUGGUGCC